rnacentral:tRNA from 1 species
GAGCCAUAGCUCAGUUGUAGAGCAUUCUGACUUUAAUCAAGAGGUCGAAGGUUCGAGUCCAUCAUGGCUCA